rnacentral:lncRNA from 1 species
UCCCCACUGCCAACUUAAAUUCCACCAUUAAUACUUUUAUGAACUCUCUAUUUGUUCUUUUUAUUUUUAUUAUAUAAAUAUUUCAUAAUCUCUCCUCCCCUUUCCUCCCAAACAAUAUUCACUAACUUGCAUAGCUCAAUCCUUUAUUUCCCCCAAAAGUUAUCGAUUGUUUCCAUAAUUCUACCACUAACAACAUCUUCUCUUCUUCUUCCUCUCUAUUUUAUCAUUAACAAAUAUGAUCAAAACUUGAAAUUACCAAGAAAUCAAAUAGUACAACUCCGUAUUUAGUUAUUUUUUGCAACUUUGUUCAUGGGUUUUGC